rnacentral:rRNA from 1 species
GCACAAGCAGUGGAGUAUGUGGUUUAAUUCGAAGCAACGCGAAGAACCUUACCAGGUCUUGACAUCCCUCUGACCGCCCUAGAGAUAGGGCUUUCCUUCGGGACAGAGAUGACAGGUGGUGCAUGGUUGUCGUCAGCUCGUGUCGUGAGAUGUUGGGUUAAGUCCCGCAACGAGCGCAACCCUUACGGUUAGUUGCUACGCAAGAGCACUCUAGCCGGACUGCCGUUGACAAAA